rnacentral:rRNA from 1 species
UGUGCUAAGGUAGCAUAAUAAUUAGUUAUUUAAUUGAUAACUAGAAUGAAAGGUUUGACGCAAAGAAAAUCUUCUUGUUAUAAAUUUAAAUUGAUAUAUAAAUAAAAAAGUUUAUAUCCUUUAGAUAGACGAUAAGACCCUAAAACCUUUAUAGAUAAACCUUUAAACGUAUCUUUUUACUGGGGCGGUAAAUUAUAUUAGCAUAACUUAGAUCAACACUUUGAAUGGCAUCCUAUAACUCUCAAAAAUUUCAAUAAGGUACUUUAGGGAUAACAGCAUAAUUUUUAUUUAGAGUAAACCUAUCGACAUAAUAGAUUAUGACCUCGAUGUUGAAUUGAUAACCACUCUGCUAAGCAG